GACGAGCCACACGAACGUUAUUCGGAAUUACUGGGCUUAAAGGGUGCGUAGGCGGCGCGGAAAGUUGGGUGUGAAAUCCCUCGGCUCAACCGAGGAACUGCGCCCAAAACUACCGUGCUCGAGGAAGAUAGAGGUGAGCGGAACUUACGGUGGAGCGGUGAAAUGCGUUGAUAUCGUAAGGAACACCCGUGGCGAAAGCGGCUACACUGGGUCUUCUCUGACGCUGAUGCACGAAAGCUAGGGGAGCAAACGGG
rnacentral:rRNA from 1 species